UAAAUUUCUGAUUAAAUACUAAGUUUCAAGAUUAGUCUUAGCCUUAGGCAAUGCCAGUGAUUAUCAUGAUCAAUUUAGGGAAUAGCUUCUUGUUUAUUUGAUGCAGGAUGCUCUAGGAUGCAAGAGAUUCUCUCUAAGGUUCUAGAAUAAGCUUGACACAGCUUCAUUGGUGGCGUCUCUGCUUCGUGGCAGGGUAAGGCGAACGAGAGUCCCAUGACUGAACUGUCAUGUGCUUCUUCCUGUCAGUUUAAGCUUUCGUAAUAAAUAGUUUCAUGACAGGCAUUCUUCCAUAUUUAAUGGCGGUUUGCACCUUUUGUGAUGGAAAACUUCUUUUACAAGAAAGCGACAAAGGCUUCAAAACAAAGAAAGGAAGAUACUUCUUUCCUUGUGCAGUUUUUGGUGUUUCUGUUGUAGCUUUCCUGAGUGGAGGAACAAAAAGGUGGCAUGGAAUUUAAGUUGGGAAAAAAAAAAUAAAAAAAGUUAAAAGUAGAAGGAGGUGUGAAA